UGCAAGUCGAACGGAAAGGCCCUGCUUUUGUGGGGUGCUCGAGUGGCGAACGGGUGAGUAACACGUGAGUAACCUGCCCUUGACUUUGGGAUAACUUCAGGAAACUGGGGCUAAUACCGGAUAGGAGCUCCUGCUGCAUGGUGGGGGUUGGAAAGUUUCGGCGGUUGGGGAUGGACUCGCGGCUUAUCAGCUUGUUGGUGGGGUAGUGGCUUACCAAGGCUUUGACGGGUAGCCGGCCUGAGAGGGUGACCGGCCACAUUGGGACUGAGAUACGGCCCAGACUCCUACGGGAGGCAGCAGUGGGGAAUAUUGCACAAUGGGCGGAAGCCUGAUGCAGCAACGCCGCGUGCGGGAUGACGGCCUUCGGGUUGUAAACCGCUUUCGCCUGUGACGAAGCGUGAGUGACGGUAAUGGGUAAAGAAGCACCGGCUAACUACGUGCCAGCAGCCGCGGUGAUACGUAGGGUGCGAGCGUUGUCCGGAUUUAUUGGGCGUAAAGGGCUCGUAGGUGGUUGAUCGCGUCGGAAGUGUAAUCUUGGGGCUUAACCCUGAGCGUGCUUUCGAUACGGGUUGACUUGAGGAAGGUAGGGGAGAAUGGAAUUCCUGGUGGAGCGGUGGAAUGCGCAGAUAUCAGGAGGAACACCAGUGGCGAAGGCGGUUCUCUGGGCCUUUCCUGACGCUGAGGAGCGAAAGCGUGGGGAGCGAACAGGCUUAGAUACCCUGGUAGUCCACGCUGUAAACGGUGGGUACUAGGUGUGGGGUCCAUUCCACGGGUUCCGUGCCGUAGCUAACGCUUUAAGUACCCCGCCUGGGGAGUACGGCCGCAAGGCUAAAACUCAAAGGAAUUGACGGGGCCCCGCACAAGCGGCGGAGCAUGCGGAUUAAUUCGAUGCAACGCGUAGAACCUUACCUGGGUUUGACAUGGAUCGGGAGCGCUCAGAGAUGGGUGUGCCUCUUUUGGGGUCGGUUCGCAGGUGGUGCAUGGCUGUCGUCAGCUCGUGUCGUGAGAUGUUGGGUUAAGUCCCGCAACGAGCGCAACCCUUGUUCACUGUUGCCAGCACGUUAUGGUGGGGACUCAGUGGAGACCGCCGGGGUCAACUCGGAGGAAGGUGGGGAUGACGUCAAGUCAUCAUGCCCCUUAUGUCCAGGGCUUCACGCAUGCUACAAUGGCUGGUACAGAGAGUGGCGAGCCUGUGAGGGUGAGCGAAUCUCGGAAAGCCGGUCUCAGUUCGGAUUGGGGUCUGCAACUCGACCUCAUGAAGUCGGAGUCGCUAGUGAUCGCAGAUCAGCAACGCUGCGGUGAAUACGUUCCCGGGGCUUGUACACACCGCCCGUCAAGUCAUGAAAGUUGGUAACACCCGAAGCCGGUGGCCUAACCGUUGUGGGGGAGCCG
rnacentral:rRNA from 1 species